AUCCAACUGUCGAGUCCCAAAUAGAACGGAACGCGAGUACUGGAU
rfam:Schistosoma mattheei strain Denwood, Zambia genome assembly, scaffold: SMTD_scaffold0006660